rnacentral:tRNA from 1 species
GCGGGUGUAGCUCAACGGCUAGAGCGCCUGGCUUCCACCCAGGAGACGCGAGUUCGAUUCUCGCCACCCGCU